CUACGUGCCAGCAGCCGCGGUAAUACGGAGGAUGCGAGCGUUAUCCGGAUUUAUUGGGUUUAAAGGGUGCGUAGGCGGCCUGUUAAGUCAGCGGUGAAAUCUAGGAGCUUAACUCCUAAAUUGCCAUUGAUACUGGCGGGCUUGAGUGUAGAUGAGGUAGGCGGAAUGCGUGGUGUAGCGGUGGAAUGCAUAGAUAUCACGCAGAACUCCGAUUGCGAAGGCAGCUUACUAAGGUACAACUGACGCUGAAGCACGAAAGCGUGGGUAUCAAACAGGAUUAGAUACCCUGGUAGUCCACGCAGUAAACGAUGAUAACUGGGCGUAUGCGAUAUACAGUAUGCUCCUAAGCGAAAGCGUUAAGUUAUCCACCUGGGGAGUACGCCGGCAACGGUGAAACUCAAAGGAAUUGACGGGGGCCCGCACAAGCGGAGGAACAUGUGGUUUAAUUCGAUGAUACGCGAGGAACCUUACCCGGGCUUGAAUUGCAGAGGAAGGAUUUAGAGAUA
rnacentral:rRNA from 1 species